UAAAGCAAGAAAGGGCGUAUGGGGAAUGCCUAGGCACACUCCGGCGAAGAAGGACGCAGCAAACAGCGAAAUGCGACGGUGAGCGGUAAGCACGUGAAGAGCCGUCGAUAUCCGAAUGGGGGAACCCACACGGAGUCAUAUCCGUGUAUCACAUGUCGAAUACAUAGACAUGAUGAGGCGAGACGCAGGGAACUGAAACAUCUAAGUACCUGCAGGAAGAGAAAAUAAGAAUGAUUUUCUGAGUAGCGGCGAGCGAAAGGGAAAGAGCCCAAACCGAUCUGAGGAUCGGGGUAGUAGGAUCAUCGAGGAAUCUGACAGAGGAUCAUAGAGGAAUCACAUGGGAAGGUGAGCGAGAGAGGGUGAGAGCCCCGUACUCGAAAUGAGAGACUGGAGAGAGAUGACACCUGAGUAGGGCGGGACACGAGAAAUCCUGUCUGAAUCAGCCGGGACCAUCCGGCAAGGCUAAAUACGAGAGAGUGACCGAUAGUGAACCAGUACCGUGAGGGAAAGGUGAAAAGAACCCCGGGAGGGGAGUGAAAGAGAACCUGAAACCAUAUGCCUACAAGAAGUCAGAGCCCGUUAAAGGGUGAUGGCGUGCCUUUUGUAGAAUGAACCGGCGAGUUACUGUAUGGAGCGAGGUUAAGCAGGAUAUGCGGAGCCGAAGCGAAAGCGAGUCUUAAGAGGGCGCGAGUUGCAUGCAGUAGACCCGAAACCGGGUGAUCUAGCCAUGACCAGGUUGAAGUUGGGGUAAAACCCGAUGGAGGACCGAACCGACCCCCGUUGAAACGUUGGCGGAUGAGUUGUGGCUAGGGGUGAAAUUCCAAUCGAACCCGGAGAUAGCUGGUUCUCCCCGAAAUAGCUUUAGGGCUAGCGUCGAGAGAAGAGUUGCGUGAAGGUAGAGCACUGAAUAUGUGAUGGCCCCAUCUCGGGGUACUGAGCAUAAUCAAACUGCGAAUGUCACGCCAACAUGCUCGGCAGUCAGACAGCGGGUGAUAAGGUCCGUUGUCAAGAGGGAAACAGCCCAGACCAUCAGCUAAGGUCCCAAAAUGUAUGCUAAGUGGAAAAGGAUGUGGAGAUGUACAGACAACUAGGAGGUUGGCUCAGAAGCAGCCAUCCUUUAAAGAGUGCGUAACAGCUCACUAGUCGAAUGACUCUGCGCCGAUAAUUUACCGGGGCUAAGCAUACUACCGAAGCUAUGGAUCCCAAGGGAUGGUAGGGGAGCGUUCCAUGAACGGAGAAGUACGACCGAAAGGACGUGUGGAGAUCAUGGAAGAGAGAAUGCCGGUGUGAGUAGCGGAACGUGGGUGAGAAUCCCACGCACCGAAAACCCAAGGUUUCCAGAGGAAGGUUCGUCCGCUCUGGGUAAGUCGGGACCUAAGGCGAGGCCGAAAGGCGUAGUCGAUGGACAACAGGUAGAGAUUCCUGUACCCGUAUAUAUGUGAAGGAAUGACGGAGAGAGGAAGCUGCAGCCAGCGGCUGGAAGAGCUGGUGCAAGCGAGAUAUCGGGAUGGCAGGCAAAUCCACCAUCCGAAACGAGAAGGCGUGAAGCGUACGGAAAGCUACGGCGAGUACGGAAGGCAGUGGAGGAACUUCCAAGAAAAGUUUCUAACGUUAAGUAUAUAUGGCCCGUACCGAAAAUGGACACACAUGGGUGAGGAGAGAAUCCUAAGGUGAGCGAGAGAACUAUAGCUAAGGAACUCUGCAAAAUGACUCCGUAACUUAGGGAGAAGGAGUGCUCAUAGAGAUAUGAGCCGCAGUGAAACGGCCCAAGCGACUGUUUACCAAAAACACAGCUCUCUGCUAAGCCGCAAGGCGAAGUAUAGGGGGUGACGCCUGCCCGGUGCUGGAAGGUUAAGGGGAGGGGUUAACGCAAGUGAAGCCCUGAACUGAAGCCCCAGUAAACGGCGGCCGUAACUAUAACGGUCCUAAGGUAGCGAAAUUCCUUGUCAGGUAAGUUCUGACCC
rnacentral:rRNA from 1 species